rnacentral:rRNA from 1 species
UUUUGCAUAAUGAGCCUGCGAGUUGUGGUGUCUGGCAAGGUUAAGCAAACGCGAAGCCGUAGCGAAAGCGAGUCUGAAUAGGGCGCUUAGUCAGAUGCUGCAGACCCGAAACGAAGUGAUCUAUCCAUGAGCAAGUUGAAGCUAGUGUAAGAACUAGUGGAGGACUGAACCCAUAGGCGUUGAAAAGCCCCGGGAUGACUUGUGGAUAGGGGUGAAAGGCCAAUCAAACUUCGUGAUAGCUGGUUCUCUCCGAAAUAUAUUUAGGUAUAGCGUUGUGUCGUAAUAUAAGGGGGUAGAGCACUGAAUGGGCUAGGGCAUACACCAAUGUACCAAACCCUAUCAAACUCCGAAUACCUUAUAUGUAAUCACAGCAGUCAGGCGGCGAGUGAUAAAAUCCGUCGUCAAGAGGGAAACAACCCAGACUACCAGCUAAGGUCCCUAAAUCUUACUUAAGUGGAAAACGAUGUGAAGUUACUUAAACAACCAGGAGGUUGGCUUAGAAGCAGCCAUCCUUUAAAGAAAGCGUAAUAGCUCACUGGUCUAGUGAUUUUGCGCGGAAAAUAUAACGGGGCUAAAGUAAGUACCGAAGCUGUAGACUUAGUUUACUAAGUGGUAGGAGAGCGUUCUAUUUGCGUCGAAGGUAUACCGGUAAGGAGUGCUGGAGCGAAUAGAAGUGAGCAUGCAGGCAUGAGUAGCGAUAAUUAAUGUGAGAAUCAUUAACGCCGUAAACCCAAGGUUUCCUACGCGAUGCUCGUCAUCGUAGGGUUAGUCGGGUCCUAAGUCGAGUCCGAAAGGGGUAGACGAUGGCAAAUUGGUUAAUAUUCCAAUACCAACAUUAGUGUGCGAUGGAAGGACGCUUAGGGCUAAGGGGGCUAGCGGAUGGAAGUGCUAGUCUAAGGUCGUAGGAGGUUGUACAGGCAAAUCCGUAUAACAAUACUCCGAGAACUGAAAGGCUUUUUGAAGUCUUCGGAUGGAUAGAAGAACCCCUGAUGCCGUCGAGCCAAGAAAAGUUUCUAAGUUUAGCUAAUGUUGCCCGUACCGUAAACCGACACAGGUGGGUGGGAUGAGUAUUCUAAGGCGCGUGGAAGAACUCUCUUUAAGGAACUCUGCAAAAUAGCACCGUAUCUUC